rnacentral:rRNA from 1 species
UACGUAGGGGGCAAGCGUUGUCCGGAAUCAUUGGGCGUAAAGAGCGUGUAGGCGGCCCGGUAAGUCCGUUGUGAAAGUCCAGGGCUCAACCCUGGAAAGCCGAUGGAUACUGCCGGGCUAGAGUUCGGAAGAGGCGAGUGGAAUUCCUGGUGUAGCGGUGGAAUGCGCAGAUACCAGGAGGAACACCUAUAGCGAAGGCAGCUCGCUGGGACGACACUGACGCUGAGACGCGAAAGCGUGGGGGAGCAAACAGG